GAUGAAGAACGUAGUGAAAUGCGAUAAGUAAUGUGAAUUGCAGAAUUCAGUGAAUCAUCGAAUCUUUGAACGCACAUUGCGCCCCCUGGUAUUCCGGGGGGCAUGCCUGUUCGAGCGUCAUUUCACCACUCAAGCCUCGCUUGGUAUUGGGCAACGCGGUCCGCCGCGUGCCUCAAAUCGACCGGCUGGGUCUUCUGUCCCCUAAGCGUUGUGGAAACUAUUCGCUAAAGGGUGUUCGGAAGGCUACGCCGUAAAACAACCCCAUUUCUAAGGUUGACCUCGGAUCAGGUAGGGAUACCCGCUGAACUUAAGCAUAUCAAUAAGCGGAGGA
rnacentral:misc_RNA from 1 species